AUUGAACGCUGGCGGCAGGCCUAACACAUGCAAGUCGAACGAGUGGCGGACGGGUGAGUAAUGUCUGGGAAACUGCCCGAUGGAGGGGGAUAACUACUGGAAACGGUAGCUAAUACAGUGUACCAUCGGAUGUGCCCAGAUGGGAUUAGCUUGUCGGUGAGGGAACGGCUCACCUAGGCGACGAUCCCUAGCUGGUCUGAGAGGAGGACCAGCCACACUGGAACUGAGAAACGGUCAAUACACGUACGGGAGGCAGCAGGGGGGAAUAUUGGACAAUGGGCGAAAGCCUGAUCCAGCCAUGCCGCGUGUGUGAAGAAGGUCGUCGGAUUGUAAAGCACUUUAAGUUGGGAGGCGUGACCAACAGAAUAAGCACCGGCUAACUUCGUGCCAGCAGCCGCGGUAAUAC
rnacentral:rRNA from 1 species